rfam:Canis lupus familiaris chromosome 3, whole genome shotgun sequence.
CGGGGGAGGCCGGAUCCUGGGCUGUGUCCCGGUGCCCUGUGCUCCGGGGCCUGCGCUGUUGGAUUCGCGCUCCCGCCCCGCAGCCCCCU